UUAGACUUAGGUAGGCACUGAGCUGUCCUCAUUCCGGUGAUUCUACAAGGUAUUCCAACAAUAUUUGUUAUCAAAAAAAUUCUGAGCAGAUGUCAUAUGGAAGAUCAUAAUAGUUCGACUCCUUGGUUACUUUUACAUCACCAUGUUUCCACUACCUGGUUGAUCUAUUUGAUCAGAAAUCCUACUAUCCCAAUCAUCAAUUAUAUUGGUUGCCUCUAUCACUCAUUCGUAUGAUUAUUGAUCAACCCAAGUCUUAUGAAUCAUUCUUUUUUUUUUAAAUGGUCCACGACUCCGUGUUUGCUUGUUCUUCUGUACGGCCAGUCGGCCAUAUGACAAGUCUUUAGCUAAAUAAUCCCUACGUGUUACAUAAGGUAAAUAUUGUACAAUUGUUUGGUUUCUCACUACUUGUGCUGUCAAAUGGAACAUUAGGGUUCCACUUCUCGUUUCCUGCUUAGGUUAUAGCGACCAUUAUCAUCAGUUGAUUCUAUAAAUAAAGGUACAGUGAUUCCAUUACUUUGUUUUUUGCUGGAAGGGUUGUUGUAUCCCAAGCUUUUUUAUUUUUUAUUUUUUGCUGGCUUAUUCUUUAUUGAUGGUGACCUGUUUUUCUUUGCAAGAGCAGGGACUUGCACGCAAUGUUCUGCUCCAUCUAAUUCUAGUGAAUGCUCCUUUCAUGCGGAGCAGCAUCUAUGGGAAAAAGGUUCUUGCCUGGCUCGAGAAGAAGAAGAUUAAAUUAGUUUAGACAUAAGAAGAUAUUUUUGUAAUCCCCAGGAAAACUGCUGGUGUUGUACUUUUGUUAGUACUUGGUAUCAAACUCCUCUUCAUUAUAAUUUUAGGCAUUUCUAGGCUGUAGAGAUAGUUCAGUGUGUAGUAGUAACCUCAGGUGUCACUAAUGUAUUCUCAAAAGGCAGGAAAUCGGAACCUAGCGAAUAAUCUGCCAACAGCAAUCUGGAGCUAUGUUCAGUAUACACAAGCCUCUUGAGGGGAUGAUUGUUAAAGGAAUAGGGGAUUUAUAUAGAUGUAUGUGCUUUACCUGUAUACUCUUUUGAGUUAUUGCCACUUGUUGAUUGAUAUAUCUUAUAAAUAUGGUUGUAACUUUAUGUUUUGGAUAUAAAAAAUAAUGGAU
rnacentral:lncRNA from 1 species